CCUACGGGAGGCAGCAGUGAGGAAUAUUGGUCAAUGGACGCAAGUCUGAACCAGCCAUGCCGCGUGCAGGAAGACGGCUCUAUGAGUUGUAAACUGCUUUUGUACGAGGGUAAACGCAGAUACGCGUAUCUGUCUGAAAGUAUCGUACGAAUAAGGAUCGGCUAACUCCGUGCCAGCAGCCGCGGUAAUACGGAGGAUUCAAGCGUUAUCCGGAUUUAUUGGGUUUAAGGGGUGCGUAGGCGGUCGGAUAAGUUAGAGGUGAAAUCCCGAGGCUCAACUUCGGAAUUGCCUCUGAUACUGUUAGGCUAGAGAGUAGUUGCGGUAGGCGGAAUGUAUGGUGUAGCGGUGAAAUGCUUAGAGAUCAUACAGAACACCGAUUGCGAAGGCAGCUUACCAAGCUACGUCUGACGUUGAGACACGAAAGCGUGGGGAGCAAACAGGAUUAGAUACCCUUGUAGUC
rnacentral:rRNA from 1 species